rnacentral:rRNA from 1 species
AUUGAACGCUGGCGGUAUGCUUAACACAUGCAAGUCGAACGGUAACAGGCUCUAGCUUGCUAGAGUGCUGACGAGUGGCGGACGGGUGAGUAACGCGUAGGGAUCUGUCCAAGAGAUUGGGACAACACGGGGAAACUCGUGCUAAUACCGAAUAAUUUCUACGGAAAAAAGGUGGGAUUUAUCCUAUCGUUCUUGGGUGAACCUGCGUUGGAUUAGCUUGUUGGUGGGGUAAAGGCCUACCAAGGCGACGAUCCAUAGCUGUUCUGAGAGGAAGAUCAGCCACACUGGGACUGAGACACGGCCCAGACUCCUACGGAGGCAGCAGUGGGGAAUAUUGGACAAUGGGCGCAAGCCUGAUCC